AUUCAAACCGAGCCGUGCUACAGUCUUGUUGACUCGCGCUGUGUUUUUACAUUCACCUCGGCUGUUUCUAUUUACUUUUAUUUUUAAGAAUAAGUCGGCUGCUUUUGCCACACUUACCGUAUAUUUACGCAUAUAAUGUCCUAAACGGGAAGGCAAUGAGGAUGUACCCAAGUAUCACGAUUUGGAUUUGUACCCGCCCGGGUAGGUCAAAGAAUAGAGGCUUAAAUCUUUAGUCUCUAAUAUCCCCCCGGGAAACGUGUCAAGUGAUACUCUGAAUGCAUAUUCAGAGGCAACCGUGGAUAUUUUCAACAUACUGUUAAGCUCAACAUAAUUCGCAGUAGAUAUUGUAUACGCAAUUUAUAAUGCGUACAAUUAUCCAAUUACUCAAAAAAAAACCAUAUGCCUGCCAGUUGAUCGGGGAAGUCUUAUAUAAUUUGUUCGAUGUCGUCAGCUGGUAAUAUGAGAUAAAAGAAGACUUAAAAACAACCUCAUAAACAAAGGUCGAAACAGUCAACAUUUUUAACUGUCCGUUAUCCAGGCUAAUGAGAGGUCCGUGUUGUGGUAGAAUGGGAUUAUGCGUGAUGAAUGAGUUUCGUUUAUUUCAGUACUAACAAUAAUCCUACUCUAAUAAAGCAUCUCUUACGUUUAAUGAAAAGAUUGGUUCAAAGAAAUGAUUGAAAUCUGGUCAUCCUCGCAAAAUAUCCUUCCACCGGCGAUUCUUAGUCCGCACAAAAUAAAUCUCGAAAGGUAAGGUUGAAGAAUGAAAUAACAAGUUAAGGGUUGGAACAUUAAUCAUUUGGUUAACACCACAUAAAUAAUGUACUUGAACCCUCCCUGCGGUUCUAGGCUCAGAAGUUAGGAAGAUAAGUAGGAAUCUUUAAUGUUUAUGCGACCGCUUUAUUUCACAGCUUUGUAAUGGCAUUUCUGACCCACAGAAAUUAAGAAGCUUUUACUCCACCGUUUUAGAAUAAUCCACAUUUAAGGAACAUAAUCGAGAAUUCAUGAAACUUGGGAGCAGUAUAAGUUUCGAAAUAAAUAAAUAGUUAAACUAUAAAUUUUUCAACGAGGAGACAUUUUGAGGUGUCAAGGUUCUUAUUGUAAGUAAAGUAAUGUUAAUAAAAUUGAAGAAAGUUGUUUAAUUUUCACGUGACAACACAGAUUCUGCGAUUAAAAUUAACAUACGAGUCGUUCAAUUUAUGAAUAAAAUUUAUUUAAAAUUAAGUAGGCUUUUUUAUAAAUAGUUGUGUUAAAACCAGUUUUGAUUCUAAUCACAAUUGUUGUUUUUUUAUAUUAUAAAUAGAAAGAGUGUAGUAAAUUAUAAUUUGUAUAAAAUAAGAACUACAAACUGAGACAUAUAAUUAUGUUCUUUCGUAGUCAAUAUCAAUAGUCAGCACUGAAUGUUUGAAAUCUGGCAAGUAUUUUUUAAAACCAUAUUAGUGUUGUGUAACUCUUCAAUAUUUUAUAUUAUUAAGUUAUUUGUUUUUUAAAAUGUUUUAGUGGUAAAGGCAAUAUGUUAAGGACAAAAUAGAAUUUCAUCACUAUUUGUUCAAUGUUAUUGUUUUGGCAAUAGGAUUGAAUAGAAUUGAAUAUUACUAAGACCAAUCAUGUGUAUAACUGAGCACAACUAGUUCUCUAGAAUUCCCUCAGGCCGUUUUCAUGAAUACUAUGCUUGGAUCUAGAGGCAAAUAUUUUUACAUAAAUACAUAUAAAUUAAAAAUAUAUAGUUCUAUUAUUGAAUCCCCAAUCU